GUGCUGGUUUCGGCAGCACAUAUACUAAAAUUGGAAAUACACGUAGAAGAUUAGCAUGGCCCCUGCACAAGGACGACACACAAAUCUGUGAAGAAUUCCAAAAAAAA
ensembl:snRNA U6 U6 spliceosomal RNA